rnacentral:rRNA from 1 species
GCUAAAAAUCUAGCUCCGCCAAACCUUAUGUAAACUCUUCUCUAUACACCUAAACUAAAACAUUUACCUAUUUUAGUAAAGGAGAUUGAAAAACUUUCCGAAGCAAUAAAAUUAGUACCGCAAGGGAAUGAUGAAAUACUAAUGAAAAACCCUUAAGCAAAAAAAAGUAGAGCUUACUCCUCGUACCUUUUGCAUCAUGGUUCAACUAGUUCAACCAAGCAAAAAGCAUUUCAGUUUGUUUUCCCGAAACUAAGCGAGCUACUUCAAGGCAGCUUAACGAGCUAACCCGUCUCUGUUGCAAAAGAGUGGGAAGACCUUCAAGUAGAGGCAACAUACCUAACGAGCCUAGUGAUAGCUGGUUACUCAAGAAAAGGAUUUUAGUCCAACCUAAAGUUAUCGUUUUACAAUAAAACUCUCUAUUGACUUUAGAGCAAUUCAAAUAAGGUACAGCCUAUUUGAAAUAGGAUACAACCUCACCUAGCGGGUAAAUCCCUCGCUUCGACCCCAAGUAGGCCUAAGAGCAGCCAUCUUUAUAAAAGCGUCACAGCUUAGUCUUUUCAAGCCACCUAAUUCCUCACCUUAAUUUUAACCCCUUGCCAGUAUUGAGUAAUUCUAUACCUCUAUAGAAAAUUUUAUGUUGAAACUAGUAACAAGAAGAAACUUCUCUUAAAUGUAAGCAUAAAUCAGAACGGACAAACCACUGACAAUUAACGCCUUUGAAUAUGUAUUAGCAACUUCAUCAAGAAAACCCUAAUCCUAACACACGUUAACCUAACACAAGAACAUUUCAAGAAAGAUUAAAAGAUAAAGAAGGAACUCGGCAAAUAUUAACCCCGCCUGUUUACCAAAAACAUCGCCUCUUGAUUAAUAAUAAGAGGUCCAGCCUGCCCAGUGACAAUGUUCAACGGCCGCGGUAUCCUAACCGUGCGAAGGUAGCGUAAUCACUUGUUCUUUAAAUGAGGACUAGUAUGAAUGGCACCACGAGGGUUAUACUGUCUCCUUUAUCCAAUCAGUGAAACUAAUCUCCCCGUGAAGAAACGGGGAUGAACCUAUAAGACGAGAAGACCCUAUGGAGCUUUAAAUUUCUCUUCAAACGCUAAACUAACUUUUAAAGUCUUUGACCUCAUACACUCACCCUGUGCGCCAUGAAGAUAAUUUUAGGUUGGGGUGACCGCGGAGUACAAAAAAACCUCCACAUUGAACUAGGUUUUCAACCUUGAACUAAGGGCUACAACCCGAACUACUAAAAAAUUAACACCAAUUGACCCAAUAAUUUUUGAUCAACGAACCAAGUUACCCUAGGGAUAACAGCGCAAUCCGUUUCAAGAGUCCAUAUCGACAGACGGGUUUACGACCUCGAUGUUGGAUCAGGGUAUCCCAGUGGUGCAGCCGCUACUAAUGGUUCGUUUGUUCAACGAUUAAAACCCU